GUGAGGAAUUUUCCGCAAUGGGCGAAAGCCUGACGGAGCAAUGCCGCGUGAAGGAUGAAGGCCUAUGGGUUGUAAACUUCUUUUCUCAGAAAAGAAUUAUGACGGUAUCUGAGGAAUAAGCAUCGGCUAACUCUGUGCCAGCAGCCGCGGUAAGACAGAGGAUGCAAGCGUUAUCCGGAAUGAUUGGGCGUAAAGCGUCUGUAGGUUGUUUAAAAAGUAUUCUGUCAAAGAUUAGGGCUUAAACCUAGAUAGGCAGAAUAAACUUUUAAGCUAGAGUUUGGUAGAGGCAGAGGGAAUUCCCGGUGGAGCGGUGAAAUGCGUAGAUAUCGGGAGGAACACCAAAGGCGAAGGCACUCUGCUGGGCCAAUACUAACACUGAGAGACGAAAGCGAGGGGAGCAAAUGGGAUUAGAAACCCGAGUAGUCC
rnacentral:rRNA from 1 species